GGACUCGUAGCUCAGUUGGCUAGAACGUUGGCUGUACUAAACCCUUCCCUUGCUGGCGUGGGUUCGAAUCCCACCGAGGCCG
rnacentral:tRNA from 1 species